GAUGAACGCUGGCGGCGUGCCUAAUACAUGCAAGUCGAGCGAACAGACGAGGAGCUUGCUCCUCUGACGUUAGCGGCGGACGGGUGAGUAACACGUGGAUAACCUACCUAUAAGACUGGGAUAACUUCGGGAAACCGGAGCUAAUACCGGAUAAUAUAUUGAACCGCAUGGUUCAAUAGUGAAAGACGGUUUUGCUGUCACUUAUAGAUGGAUCCGCGCCGCAUUAGCUAGUUGGUAAGGUAACGGGUUACCAAGGCAACGAUGCGUAGCCGACCUGAGAGGGUGAUCGGCCACACUGGAACUGAGACAGGGUCCAGACUCCUAAGGGAGGCAGCAGUAGGGAAUCUUCCGCAAUGGGCGAAAGCCUGACGGAGCAACGCCGCGUGAGUGAUGAAGGUCUUCGGAUCGUAAAACUCUGUUAUUAGGGAAGAACAAAUGUGUAAGUAACUAUGCACGUCUUGACGGUACCUAAUCAGAAAGCCACGGCUAACUACGUG
rnacentral:rRNA from 1 species